CAGGGAGGGGUUCAGACUCAGGGCCUCCAGCUUAAUGAUGAGUUUGGAGGGUACUUUGGUGUUAAAUGCUGAGCUGUAGUCAAUGAGCAGCAUUCUUACAUAGGUAUUCCUCUUGUCCAGAUGGGUUAGGGCAGUGUGCAGUGUGAUGAUUGCAUCGUCUGUGGACCUAUUGGGGCGGUAAGCAAAUUGAAGUGGGUCUAAGGUGGCCAGCAAGAUGGAGGUGAUAUGAUCCUUGACUAGUCUCUCAAAGCACUUCUUGGUGAUAGUCAUUUAGUUCAGUUAUCUUUGCCUUCUUGGGGACAGGAACAAAGGUGGCCAUCUUGAAGCAUGUGGGGACAGCAGAGUGGGAUAGGGAGCGAUUGAAUAUGUCCUUAAACACUCCAGCCAGCUGGUCUGAGCUCUGAGGAUGCGGUUGGGGAUGCCGUCUGGGCCGGCAGCCUGGCGAGGGUUAACACGUUUAACACCAACUACAGUUCACUACUACUGAGAUCUAGAACUACAACACCAACUACAGGUCACUACUACUGAGAUCUAGAACUACAACACCAACUACAGGUCACUACUACUGAGAUCUAGAACUACAACAUCAAC
ensembl:lncRNA